rnacentral:lncRNA from 1 species
AACAUGGUAUUCCAAGGCAACAGGAUACAAAUGCCAGAAGAUGGUGGUGCAUCCCUUGGAAUUGACCUUAUAGACGGCAUUCUUAGCUACCAUGUGGAGCUGGGAAUAGAACCCUGGUCCUCUGGAAGAACAGCCAUCUCUCCAGCCUCCACUUAUUGCUUCUUAAUGUUCUUCUGAAUUUUAUUUAUUUUCUACAAUAUGUGGAUAUUGGACUUACAGUCAGAAAAAUACAAUGAGUAUGGAUGUUUGUCUUUGUGGUACUAAAGACUGAAUCCAGGACAGUACAAACUAAACACUCUCUGUACUGCUAAACUAUACCACUUGUCCCAUAAUGUAUUCUACAAAAAGAAAACAUAGAAAUCACUGAUGAUCAACAUCUCUCGGAUUUGGCAUCACUACAAUUGAACUGCUUUUAAUUUACUGGUAUCUCUGGAAAAGUCACCUCCCAUAUUUCUCCAAAUAAAGACCAUAUAUAUAUUUAAAGACAAGGUUAUCACCAAGUAGAUCAGGCUGGGUUCAAAGUCACAGAGAUCUUCCAGCCUCCUGAGUGCUGGGAUCUAAAGCAUGUACCACCACACUUGGAUAGGUCUGAUCAAGGUUAUAUAGAUAAAAUAAAUUACGUUUUCAAAUUUAUAACUUAAUACAGUCACUUUAAUUUUUGUAUAAUAAUGUUUUACUCCUAGUUUUAAUAAGGCUGGAGGUGUGUUUAGAUUUCUUGUAUGAAUAACCACAGAGUCCAAAAGCAAUGACCAUUCAUAUUCUCACCUAGUCUUUAUCUAAUUUUUUCCAUUUCUCUGCUGACUAAGCUUACCCACAUUGAACUGUAUACCACUUCCGUAAUGACAGGCAUCACUAACUGGGUCUUUCGCUCCUAACAUGACAUCGGUAAGUAUGAUGGGAGCUCUCAGCUCUCACAGAGAAAUAUUUGUAGAGUUAGGAAGCAUUUGCUUUGCUAUGGAUGGAUGCUAAUAUAAUGAGUUCCAGUCUUGAAUUG